UUAAAGGUGCAAUCUGGGAUAUUUGCUGUUUAAUAUUUGGUGGUGGGCUAAUGUUGAGCUUUAACACAAAUCCCAGAUUGUAUCUUUAAGGUCCAAGCUGCCCUAAACUGCUGUUGUCAUGUUCAUUAGGGGACACAAUGGAAAACAUUUAAAUGUUGUGCAAUGGAAAAAGAAAACGGGCAUUUCAUAUUGGACAAGUCCAGGUGGUAGGUGGUAGGUCUAGGUGGUAGGUCCAGGUGGUAGGUGGUAGGUCCAGGUGGUAGGUGGUCGGUCCAGGUGGUAGGUGGUCGGUCCAGGUGGUAGGUGGUAGGUCCAGGUGGUAGGUGGUAGGUCCAGGUGGUAGGUGGUAGGUCCAGGUGGUAGGUGGUAGGUCCAGGUGGUAGGUGGUAGGUCCAGGUGGUAGGUGGUAGGUCCAGGUGGUAGGUGGUAGGUCCAGGUGGUAGGUGGUAGGUCCAGGUGGUAGGUGGUAGGUCCAGGUGGUAGGCUAGUCCCUCACUGUUUAAUUUUUAUUUUAUUUUUUAUUAUUUUUUUUUUUAUCACCUUUAUUUAACCAGGUAGGCCAGUUGAGAACAAGUCCUCAUUUACAACUGUGACCUGGCCAAGAUAAAACAAAGCAGUGCGACACAAACACAGACAGAGAUAAAACAUGGAAUAAACAAACGUACAGUCAAUAACACAAUAGAAAAGUCUAUAUACAGUAUGUGCAAAUUAAGUAAGAUUAGGGAGGUAAG
ensembl:lncRNA